rnacentral:rRNA from 1 species
AUAGUCCUACGGGGCGCAGCAGUCGGGAAUAUUGCGCAAUGGAGGAAACUCUGACGCAGUGACGCCGCGUAUAGGAAGAAGGUUUUCGGAUUGUAAACUAUUGUCGUUAGGGAAGAUAAAAGACUGUACCUAAGGAGGAAGCCCCGGCUAACUAUGUACCAGCAGCCGCGGUAGUACGUAGGGGGCAAGCGUUAUCCGGAUUUACUGGGGGUAAAGGGAGCGUAGACGGAGGAGAAAGUCUGAUGUGAAACUCAGGGGCCCAACCCCGGACCUGCAUUGGAAACUGUUUAUCUAGAGUGUCGGAG